CGUGCUCGGAAGGGUGUCCUAUCUCCUGUGCCCUCCUAUUGUUCUGCUCCCUGACGGGUGAGGUGAGCAGCUCUGCUCUUUGUAGCAUGAUGCUCCGUCUCACCAGAGGCCUGUAGCCAUGGAGUCAGCCAGCCAUAGACUGACUCCUCUAGAACGGUGAGGCAGUAUAUACCUCCCUCUUUUCACCCGUUCUUCGUCUAUGUUUGUCACAGCCGCUAAAGGUCUGACUGAGGGGGGAGGUGUGGUGGAGUGAGGAUUCUGGGACAGGUGCAGCACGGGACCACAUCAACCAAGCCGUCUUUUGGCCUUAACUGCAGAGAUCUUCCGGUAGCGUUUUUACCUGACCCGAAGGGACAUUAUCCUGUCUGUACACAGUGAGUGGUAACAAACACUCUGGUUUCUCACCUGUAGAAUGAAGGCGUUGGUAGACACCCCUGGAAACUCUAAUUCAGAAGUCUUUGGGGUAAAUUAAAUUCAGCAAAUCCCUGCCCUCUGCUGCAUAAAGGAGUGGGUGAAAACAUCCAAAACGACAGAAGACGAUAUCGACAUUUGAAAGUUCAAUUAGGCCUUAGUUUUGUUUCAUGGGACGUUUCUCUUUAUUUCUUUUAACAUAAAUUGUUAUAAUUGGCAUACAAUGUGAGAGUUCCAUGUAUGAAAAUUCCCUUUUGUCAAGUUUUUAAGAGCCAAAUACUUGCAAAUGUCUUAUUUUAAGGGAAAAAAACCAAAAAAACUGAUGUCAAGUA